UCCGGUUUAUCACCGGCAGUCACCUUAGAGUGCCCAACUUAAUGCUGGCAACUAAGAUCAAGGGUUGCGCUCGUUACGGGACUUAACCCAACAUCUCACGACACGAGCUGACGACAACCAUGCACCACCUGUCACUCUGUCCCCGAAGGGAAAGCUCUAUCUCUAGAGUUGUCAGAGGAUGUCAAGACCUGGUAAGGUUCUUCGCGUUGCUUCGAAUUAAACCACAUGCUCCACCGCUUGUGCGGGCCCCCGUCAAUUCUUUUGAGUUUCAGCCUUGCGGCCGUACUCCCCAGGCGGAGUGCUUAAUGCGUUAACUGCAGCACCAAGGGGCGGAAACCCCUUGACACCUAGCACUCAUCGUUUACGGCGUGGACUAC
rnacentral:misc_RNA from 1 species